GCCGAAGUGGUGAAAUUGGUAGACACGCUACUUUGAGGGGGUAGUGACCUUUGGGUCGUGCCGGUUCGAGUCCGGCCUUCGGCA
rnacentral:tRNA from 1 species